rnacentral:rRNA from 1 species
AGUGAACGCUGGCGGUAGGCCUAACACAUGCCAGUCGAACGGCAGCACAGUAAGAGCUUGCUCUUACGGGUGGCGAGUGGCGGACGGGUGAGGAAUACAUCGGAAUCUACUUUUUCGUGGGGGAUAACGUAGGGAAACUUACGCUCAUACCGCAUACGACCUACGGGUGAAAGCAGGGGAUCUUCGGACCUUGCGCGAUUGAAUGAGCCGAUGUCGGAUUAGCUAGUUGGCGGGGUAAAGGCCCACCAAGGCGACGAUCCGUAGCUGGUCUGAGAGGAUGAUCAGCCGCACUGGAACUGAGACACGGUCCAGACUCCUACGGGAGGCAGCAGUGGGGAAUAUUGGACAAUGGGCGCAAGCCUGAUCCAGCCAUACCGCGUGGGUGAAGAAGGCCUUCGGGUUGUAAAGCCCUUUUGUUGGGAAGGAAAAGCAGCAGGUUAAUACCCCGCUGUUCUGACGGUACCCAAAGAAUAAGCACCGGCUAACUUCGUG